GCUGUUGUGAUGCAAUUGGUAGACAUGGCGGAUUUAGGCUCUGUCUCUUGUAAGUUCAACUCUUACCAACAGCC
rfam:Trichoplax adhaerens isolate Grell Red Sea mitochondrion, complete genome.